CAAUAGCAUAUAUUAACGUUGUUGCAGUUGAAAAGCUCGUAGUUGAACUUUUGGUAGGAGCGACCUGGCCUUGGGCGCAUGCCCUUGUUUGCCGUGUGUCGUAUCUGGCCAUCCUUUUCUUCUUUUUGGAAGGAAUCCUUUACUGUGAGUAAACUGGAGUGCUCAAAACAAGACGUUUGUUUGGUACAUUAAAGCAUGGAAUAAUAAGAUAGGACCUGGUUACUAUUUUGUUGGUUUGCAUAGCUAGGUAAUGAUUAACAGGGACAGUUGGGGGUAUUCGUAUUUAAUUGUCAGAGGUGAAAUUCUUGGAUUUAUGAAAGACGAACGACUGCGAAAGCAUUUACCAAGGAUGUUUUCAUUA
rnacentral:rRNA from 1 species